rnacentral:rRNA from 1 species
GACGAACGCUGGCGGCGUGCCUAAUACAUGCAAGUAGAACGCUGAAGGAGGAGCUUGCUUCUCUGGAUGAGUUGCGAACGGGUGAGUAACGCGUAGGUAACCUGCCUGGUAGCGGGGGAUAACUAUUGGAAACGAUAGCUAAUACCGCAUAAUAGUAGAUGUUGCAUGACAUUUGCUUAAAAGGUGCAAUUGCAUCACUACCAGAUGGACCUGCGUUGUAUUAGCUAGUUGGUGGGGUAACGGCUCACCAAGGCGACGAUACAUAGCCGACCUGAGAGGGGGGUCCGACACCAUGGGACUGAGACACGGCCCAGACUCCUACGGGAGGCAGCAGUAGGGAAGCUUCGGCAAUGGACGGAAGUCUGACCGAGCAACGCCGCGUGAGUGAAGAAGGUUUUCGGAUCGUAAAGCUCUGUUGUAAGAGAAGAACGAGUGUGAGAGUGGAAAGUUCACACUGUGACGGUAUCUUACCAGAAAGGGACGGCUAACUACGUG